rnacentral:rRNA from 1 species
AGUGAACGCUGGCGGUAGGCCUAACACAUGCAAGUCGAACGGCAGCACAGUAAGAGCUUGCUCUUACGGGUGGCGAGUGGCGGACGGGUGAGGAAUACAUCGGAAUCUACUUUUUCGUGGGGGAUAACGUAGGGAAACUUACGCUAAUACCGCAUACGACCUACGGGUGAAAGCAGGGGAUCUUCGGACCUUGCGCGAUUGAAUGAGCCGAUGUCGGAUUAGCUAGUUGGCGGGGUAAAGGCCCACCAAGGCGACGAUCCGUAGCUGGUCUGAGAGGAUGAUCAGCCACACUGGAACUGAGACACGGUCCAGACUCCUACGGGAGGCAGCAGUGGGGAAUAUUGGACAAUGGGCGCAAGCCUGAUCCAGCCAUACCGCGUGGGUGUAGAAGGCCUUCGGGUUGUAAAGCCCUCUUGUCGGGAAAGAAAAGCAGCAGGUUAAUACCCCGCUGUUCUGACGGUACCCAAAGAAUAAGCACCGGCUAACUUCGUG